rnacentral:rRNA from 1 species
CUUACAACAAACCUUACAACCACCCCUUAAAUAAAUUAUUUACAUAAAACUAAUUACACUUAUUUUUUGAUAGUACUAAAUAGGAAUAAAUUAAUAGUAAAAAGUAGUGGUAAAAUCACGUACCUUGUGCAUUAUGGUUUUACAAGCAUAAAAUAAAUUAUAUACUCCCGAAUUCUAUGCGAGCUGUCCAAACAUUGCUAAGAGCCCACUACUAGUUGUAGCAUCAACUUUAGAAAAUGUUUGGACAGAGGCUACAUACCAUACGCGCUAGAAAAUUGCUGGUUUUCAGUAAAAUUUAUAUAUUAAAACAUGUGGUAUACACCACACUGUAAAAUUUAAGAGGAUAAGCCCUUAAAUUCAAAGCUAACAUAAUUUCAUUAUAAACUAAAAUAGGCCUAAUAACAGCCACCUCCAUAACUUUACCGUUUACUUCACACAAUUUAUAAUUAAAAUGCCUCAAUAAGCUG